GAUUCUGGCUCAGGAUGAACGCUAGCUACAGGCUUAACACAUGCAAGUCGAGGGGUAGCAGGGUAGCAAUACCGCUGACGACCGGCGCACGGGUGAGUAACACGUAUCCAACCUUCCCAUAACUCAGGGAUAGCCUUUCGAAAGAAAGAUUAAUACCUGAUAGUACUUUUUCAAGGCAUCUUGAGAAAGUUAAAGAUUUAUUGGUUAUGGAUGGGGAUGCGUUCCAUUAGAUAGUUGGUGAGGUAACGGCUCACCAAGUCUUCGAUGGAUAGGGGUUCUGAGAGGAAGGUCCCCCACAUUGGUACUGAGACACGGACCAAACUCCUACGGGAGGCAGCAGUGAGGAAUAUUGGUCAAUGGGCGAGAGCCUGAACCAGCCAAGUAGCGUGAAGGAUGAAGGUCCUAUGGAUUGUAAACUUCUUUUAUAGUAGAAUAAAGUGAUCCACGUGUGGAUUUUUGUAUGUAUACUAUGAAUAAGGAUCGGCUAACUCCGUGCCAGCAGCCGC
rnacentral:rRNA from 1 species